UGCGCAGCCUGAUGCAGCGACGCCGCGUGAGGGAUGACGGCCUUCGGGUUGUAAACCUCUUUCAGUAGGGAAGAAGCGAAAGUGACGGUACCUGCAGAAGAAGCACCGGCUAACUACGUGCCAGCAGCCGCGGUAAUACGUAGGGUGCGAGCGUUAUCCGGAAUUAUUGGGCGUAAAGAGCUCGUAGGCGGUUUGUCGCGUCUGUCGUGAAAGUCCGGGGCUUAACCCCGGAUCUGCGGUGGGUACGGGCAGACUAGAGUGCAGUAGGGGAGACUGGAAUUCCUGGUGUAGCGGUGGAAUGCGCAGAUAUCAGGAGGAACACCGAUGGCGAAGGCAGGUCUCUGGGCUGUAACUGACGCUGAGGAGCGAAAGCAUGGGGAGCGAACAGGAUUAGAUACCCUGGUAGUCCAUGCCGUAAACGUUGGGCACUAGGUGU
rnacentral:rRNA from 1 species